GUGCCAGCAGCCGCGGUAAUACCGGCAGCCCAAGUGAUGGCCGCUGUUAUUGGGCCUAAAGCGUCCGUAGCUGGCCGCACGAGUCCGUCGGGAAAUCCGCCCGCUCAACGGGCGGCCGUCGGGCGGAACCUGUGUGGCUUGGGACCGGGAGGCCUGAGGGGUACGAUCGGGGUAGGAGUGAAAUCCUGUAAUCCCGCUCGGACCGCCGAUGGGGAAACCACCUCAGGAGAACGGAUCCGACAGUGAGGGACGAAAGCUAAGAUCGCGAACCGGAUUAGAUACCCUUGUAGUCC
rnacentral:rRNA from 1 species